rnacentral:rRNA from 1 species
GACGAACGCUGGCGGCGUGCUUAACACAUGCAAGUCGAACGGAAAGGCCCUGCUUGCAGGGUACUCGAGUGGCGAACGGGUGAGUAACACGUGGGUUAUCUGCCCUGCACUUCGGGAUAAGCCUGGGAAACUGGGUCUAAUACCGGAUAGGAGCCAUUUUUAGUGUGAUGGUUGGAAAGUUUUUUCGGUGUAGGAUGAGCUCGCGGCCUAUCAGCUUGUUGGUGGGGUAAUGGCCUACCAAGGCGGCGACGGGUAGCCGGCCUGAGACGGUGGACAGCCACAUUGGGACUGAGAUACGGCCCAGACUCCUACGGGAGGCAGCAGUGGGGAAUAUUGCACAAUGGGCGCAAGCCUGAUGCAGCGACGCCGCGUGGGGGAUGACGGCCUUCGGGUUGUAAACUCCUUUCGCUAGGGACGAAGCUUUUUGUGACGGUACCUAGAUAAGAAGCACCGGCCAACUACGUG